rnacentral:rRNA from 1 species
UAGAGUGCAGGAGAGGAAGGUAGAAUUCCCGGUGUAGCGGUGAAAUGCGUAGAGAUCGGGAGGAAUACCAGUGGCGAAGGCGGCCUUCUGGACUGACACUGACACUGAGGUGCGAAAGCGUGGGUAGCAAACAGGAUUAGAUACCCUGGUAGUCCACGCCGUAAACGAUGUCGACCAGCCGUUGGGUGCCUAGCGCACUUUGUGGCGAAGUUAACGCGAUAAGUCGACCGCCUGGGGAGUACGGCCGCAAGGUUAAAACUCAAAUGAAUUGACGGGGGCCCGCACAAGCGGUGGAGCAUGUGGUUUAAUUCGAUGCAACGCGAAGAACCUUACCUACCCUUGACAUCCUGCGAACCCGGAAGAGAUUCCGGGGUGCCUUCGGGAACGCAGAGACAGGUGCUGCAUGGCUGUCGUCAGCUCGUGUUGUGAAAUGUUGGGUUAAGUCCCGUAACGAGCGCAACCCUUGUCCUUAUUUGCCAGCACGUAAUGGUGGGAACUCUAAGGAGACUGCCGGUGACAAACCGGAGGAAGGUGGGGACGACGUCAAGUCAUCAUGGCCCUUACGGGUAGGGCUACACACGUGCUACAAUGGCCGGUACAAAGGGCGGCGAGCUCGCGAGAGUCAGCGAAUCCCUUAAAGCCGGUCUCAGUCCGGAUCGGAGUCUGCAACUCGACUCCGUGAAGUCGGAAUCGCUAGUAAUCGUGAAUCAGAAUGUCACGGUGAAUACGUUCCCGGGCCUUGUACACACCGCCCGUCACACCAUGGGAGUGGACUGCACCAGAAGUGGUUAGCCUAACGCAAGAGGGCG